UACGUAGGCAGCAAGCGUUGUUCGGAAUUACUGGGCGUAAAGGGUGUGUAGGCGGUUGUUUAAGUUUGGUGUGAAAUCUCCCGGCUCAACUGGGAGGGUGCGCCGAAUACUGAAUGACUAGAGUGUGGGAGAGGUGAGUGGAAUUCCUGGUGUAGCGGUGAAAUGCGUAGAUAUCAGGAGGAACACCGGUGGUGUAGACGGCUCACUGGACCAUAACUGACGCUGAGACACGAAAGCGUGGGUAGCAAACAGG
rnacentral:rRNA from 1 species